CUCCGCCUGGGGAGUACGGCCGCAAGGCUGAAACUCAAAGGAAUUGACGGGGGCCCGCACAAGCGGUGGAGCAUGUGGUUUAAUUCGAAGCAACGCGAAGAACCUUACCAGGUCUUGACAUCCUCUGACACUCCUAGAGAUAGGACUUUCCCCUUCGGGGGACAGAGUGACAGGUGGUGCAUGGUUGUCGUCAGCUCGUGUCGUGAGAUGUUGGGUUAAGUCCCGCAACGAGCGCAACCCUUGAUCUUAGUUGCCAGCAUUCAGUUGGGCACUCUAAGGUGACUGCCGGUGACAAACCGGAGGAAGGUGGGGAUGACGUCAAAUCAUCAUGCCCCUUAUGACCUGGGCUACACACGUGCUACAAUGGAUGGUACAAAGGGCAGCGAAACCGCGAGGUUUAGCCAAUCCCAUAAAACCAUUCUCAGUUCGGAUUGUAGGCUGCAACUCGCCUACAUGAAGCCGG
rnacentral:rRNA from 1 species